rnacentral:misc_RNA from 1 species
GAUGAGGAACGCAGCGAAAUGCGAUAAGUAAUGUGAAUUGCAGAAUUCAGUGAAUCAUCGAAUCUUUGAACGCACAUUGCGCCCUCUGGUAUUCCGGGGGGCAUGCCUGUUCGAGCGUCAUUAUAACCACUCAAGCUCUCGCUUGGUAUUGGGGUUCGCGGUUCCGCGGCCCCUAAAAUCAGUGGCGGUGCCUGUCGGCUCUACGCGUAGUAAUACUCCUCGCGAUUGAGUCCGGUAGGUCUACUUGCCAGCAACCCCCAAUUUUUACAGGUUGACCUCGGAUCAGGUAGGGAUACCCGCUGAACUUAAGCAUAUCAAUAAGCGGAGGA